rnacentral:misc_RNA from 1 species
CCGAAAUGAAAGAGGAAGAAGAAGAAGAGGAGUUUUUGCGUUUUUCGAUGCCUCUUCUUAGCAGUUAGCAGUAGCACUAGCUAUUCAUGUGAAUCAUGUCUCGCUUUCGGCGCUACCCUUGUUCAUGAUCCUCUUGGUGGUCGUGGGCUCCGACGCCGACGACGAGCUCCACCUGGUCGUCGAGGUACCGGUGCAGCAGCCGGAGCCGGCCGCCGGCGCGCACCGUCGCCGUCUCGUCCGGCACGCGGUCGCGGUCUCCGUCGCCGUCGCCGUCGCCGUCGCAGCAGCCGCCACGCGAUCUCCCGCUGGCCACCAGCUUCCUCCUGACCCUCAGGAAGCGGACGGCGGCCACGGCGCAGCAGAGCAGCGGCAGCCAGAGGACGGCCAGCGCCAGGGCCGCCGGGAGCAGCCACAGCGCCAGAGCCGCCGCGGCCACCGCCCGCCACGACGUCGGCGGCCCGCGGGCGCCGCCCAUGUGUCCUUCGUCCUUCUUCUGCCCGGCCGGCUGGCAGUGGCAGGACGAAGGAAGGA